rnacentral:rRNA from 1 species
UUUUUGAAUAUAAUUUAAAGUCUAACCUGCCCACUGAUAGAAAUAUUAAAGGGCCGCGGUAUUUUGACUGUGCAAAGGUAGCAUAAUCAUUUGUCUUUUAAUUGAAGGCUGGAAUGAAUGGUUGGAUGAAAUAUUAACUGUCUCAUUUUUAAAAAGAUAAAAAUUUAGCUUUUUAGUUAAAAGGCUAAAAUUAAUUUAAAGGACGAGAAGACCCUAUAGAUCUUUAUAAUAAAAAUUUUAUGAUAAAAUAGUUUUAAAUAAUAUUAUAAGAUAAAUUAUUAUUUGUUGGGGUGAUGGGAAAAUUAAAUAAACUUUUUUUAAUUAAUUAACAUAAAUUAAUGAAUUUAUGAUCCAAUUUUAUUGAUUAAAAGAUUAAGUUACCUUAGGGAUAACAGCGUAAUUUUUUUGGAGAGUUCAUAUCGAUAAAAAAGAUUGCGACCUCGAUGUUGAAUUAAAGGUUAUUUCUAGAUGUAGGAGUUUAGAGUUUAGGUCUGUUCGACCUUUGAAUCUUU